GAUGAAGAACGUAGCGAAAUGCGAUAAGUAAUGUGAAUUGCAGAAUUCAGUGAAUCAUCGAAUCUUUGAACGCACAUUGCGCCCGCCAGUAUUCUGGCGGGCAUGCCUGUUCGAGCGUCAUUACAACCCUCAGGCCCCCGGGCCUGGCGUUGGGGAUCGGCGGCGCCCCCCGUGGGCACACGCCGUCCCCCAAAUGCAGUGGCGGUCCCGCCGCAGCUUCCAUCGCGUAGUAGCUAACACCUCGCGACUGGAGAGCGGCGCGGCCACGCCGUAAAACACCCAACUCUUCUGAAGUUGACCUCGAAUCAGGUAGGAAUACCCGCUGAACUUAAGCAUAUCAAUAAGCGGAGGA
rnacentral:misc_RNA from 1 species